rnacentral:rRNA from 1 species
AUGUUCACUGACUCCUCCUUGGUUUUGUGGCUUCCUUGUGUGGCUGAGCUCCUCGGCCAUAAUUCUGAACCUUCCAUUCUUAUUGGCCAUAAGUGGAAAUUGUUGCAAGCCUUUCGGUUGCAAUCGUGUGCCUGCUGUUUUCCCUUGGAGGUUGAGAAGUUAGGGAGAUAUUUAAUUUCCCUAAUAGAACAGAAGCUUUGGCCUUCCCGGGAGUUUUCCUUAUGGAUUCCAACUUGGUGUUACAGCAGCAACAACCACUUUCCUCGGCCAGCAGAAAAUGUUAUGUGCAUGGAUGGAUUUGCUAAAUCCUUGGAGCUGUUGUUUACUCAAGCAGAUAUGCAUUGCAAUUGCGAACAAGUUUUUCAUCAGACUCGGGAUCCAAGUGAGGCGGCUCCUGAUUGGGUUAAUUCUGUUGCUGUCAGAUCCUUCGGUGUUGCCACAGUCAACGAGUUCAUACAUGUUCCAGCAGAUAAACUGUAUUAG